rnacentral:rRNA from 1 species
GACGAACGCUGGCGGCGUGCUUAACACAUGCAAGUCGAACGGUGAAGCGCCUUCCUUUUUGGUGGGUGUGGAUGAGUGGCGAACGGGUGAGUAACACGUGAGUAACCUGCCCCCUUCUUCUGGAUAACCGCAUGAAAGUGUGGCUAAUACGGGAUAUUCUGGGUCUGUCGCAUGAUGGGUCUGGGAAAGAUAUUGUUUCGGUGGGGGAUGGGCUCGCGGCCUAUCAGCUUGUUGGUGGGGUGAUGGCCUACCAAGGCGGUGACGGGUAGCCGGCCUGAGAGGGUGGACGGUCACACUGGGACUGAGACACGGCCCAGACUCCUACGGGAGGCAGCAGUGGGGAAUAGUGCACAAUGGGCGCAAGCCUGAUGCAGCGCCGCCGCGUGAGGGAUGGAGGCCUUCGGGUUGUGAACCUCUUUCGCCAGUGAAGCAGGCCUGCCUCGUUUGUGGGUGGGUUGACGGUAGCUGGAUAAGAAGCGCCGGCUAACUACGUG